rnacentral:rRNA from 1 species
GCAAGUCGAACGGUAACAGGGAAUAGCUUGCUAUUUUGCUGACGAGUGGCGGACGGGUGAGUAAUGCUUGGGAAUAUGCCAAAACGUGGGGGACAACAGUUGGAAACGACUGCUAAUACCGCAUAAUGUCUUCGGACCAAAGCAGGGGACCUUCGGGCCUUGCGCGUUUUGAUUAGCCCAAGUGGGAUUAGCUAGUUGGUAAGGUAAUGGCUUACCAAGGCGACGAUCCCUAGCUGGUCUUAGAGGAUGACCAGCCACACUGGAACUGAGACACGGUCCAGACUCCUACGGGAGGCAGCAGUGGGGAAUAUUGCACAAUGGGGGAAACCCUGAUGCAGCCAUGCCGCGUGUGUGAAGAAGGCUUUCGGGUUGUAAAGCACUUUCAGUAGGGAGGAAAGGGUGCUGGUUAAUAACCAGUAUCUGUGACGUUACCUACAGAAGAAGCACCGGCUAACUCCGUGCCAGCAGCCGCGGUAAUACGGAGGGUGCGAGCGUUAAUCGGAAUUACUGGGCGUAAAGCGCGCGUAGGUGGUUAAUUAAGUCAGAUGUGAAAGCCCAGGGCUCAACCUUGGAACUGCAUUUGAAACUGGUUAACUAGAGUUUUGUAGAGGGUGGUAGAAUUUCAGGUGUAGCGGUGAAAUGCGUAGAGAUCUGAAGGAAUACCAGUGGCGAAGGCGGCCACCUGGACAGAGACUGACACUGAGGCGCGAAGGCGUGGGGAGCAAACGGGAUUAGAUACCCCGGUAGUCCACGCAGUAAACGAUGUCUAUUAGAAGUUUGUGGCUAUAUGCCGUGGGUUUCAAAGCUAACGCAUUAAAUAGAC